rnacentral:rRNA from 1 species
UACGGAGGGUGCAAGCGUUAAUCGGAAUUACUGGGCGUAAAGCGCACGUAGGUGGUUUGCUAAGUCAGCUGUGAAAUCCCCGGGCUUAACCUGGGCACUGCAGUUGAAACUGGCAAGCUAGAGUAGGGUAGAGGGGUGUGGAAUUCCAGGUGUAGCGGUGAAAUGCGUAGAUAUCUGGAGGAACAUCAGUGGCGAAGGCGACACCCUGGACUCAUACUGACACUGAGGGACGAAAGCUAGGGGAGCGAAUGGG